AAGAAUAUGGGAUGAACACGGCAUAUGGCUAGACACAAAGGUGGCAGUAUGUAAGGCAGUCAUCCUCACAGUUCUGUUGUAUGGAUCUGAGUCCUGGACCAUUUAUCGCCAGCAGAUAACCAAACUUGAUCAGUUCCAUAUGCACUGUCUCCGUCAUAUUGCACAUGUCAAAUGGCAGGAUAAAGUCCCAAAUACUGAGGUACUCCAAACCUGUGGCAUCACUGGUAUUGUGGCCUUCCUGCUCGCUGCUUAGUUUCGCUGGUCUGGACAUGUUGUACUCAUGGCAGAUUCACGCCUGCCGAAGCAGGUUUUCUCUGGCCAGCUCCAGAGCGGCAUGCGCUCUCAAGGAGGGAAAUCAAACGUGACAAGGACGGCCUCAAAGCCAAUUUGAAACUAUGCAACAUGGACCCAAAUGACCUUGAAUAGAUGGUCGCAGACAGGACAUCAUGGCGAGCACAGUGCCAUACUGCCAUACACUGCUUUGAGUCCAGCCGGUUCACUGUUGCUGUAGACAAACGAAGACGCCGAAAGCUCAAUACAUUUAAAAUAACAACAUCUAGCCAGUUUAUGUGCAACACCUGUGGCCGGCCAUGUGCUUCGAGGAUUGGCCUCUAUUCACAUCGUAGGACGCACCAACAACAACUGUGACGAGAUCUGUCGUGUCGACAGCUCAGACCAUGACUGAAGUCACGUUUUCUCCAGCAUUUGUCAUCUCGUGCAGUCCUUAGUUUUGGUUACCCGCAUGACUAGCUUUGUUGUGCUAAGCAGCAUUAAGGCAUGUCAAGCUUUUUUCACUUAACGACCCGAUAGCAGCAUGUGUAUAUUUGAUGUGAACGCUGAUACGGGAGCUGCAGUGGAAGAAGCAGCCCUCAUGUAAAGCCCUCCUCGUGUGAAGACCUACUUGUGUAAAGACCAGCGAGUCUACCUGUGCGUGUCCACCGAGCAAGGACACUGACAACGCGCCACUCACCCUAGCACUUAAGUAUCUUUUUUCAUUUUUUUUAAACUGUUUUCCUUAUACAUUCCGAUAUGUCUUUUCCACACAUAACAUGUGCCCUCAAGCACAUCUCUGUUAUCUGUUACAGACAGUUUACAUGAUAUAGACGAAGGACACAACGCAACCCACACAACCUACGGCCACUUUGCACUUCUUUCCAGCCUUCACCACACAGUCCACCCUCAGCAUCCUUGCACUGACAUGGAUACAUCCAGAGGAUACAGCAACACCCGUUGCUCUCUCCAAAAACUUCUCUCACACCCCUUGACAUGCCGGUAGGGGUAGGGGAACAGGUCAGCUGGCAAACUUUCUUGAGGAGCUGGAUGUCCUGCUGUCCUACUUCCCUGAAGAUGGCAGGCCACUUGUGGUUCUUGGAGAUUUCAACAUACACCAAGACAAGCCUCAGGCCACUGGACUUCAUGCUCUUCUGGCCUCGUUCGACUUGGAAAGACUAAGCACUACAGCAACUCACAGAUCGGACAACCAGCUGGACCUCAUUUUUACACGCCAGCACGUAUGACACUGCCCAACCCCUGACUCUUUGACGUUCUUCGUGAACAUCAGACUGACCUCAGGGUGGCUGAGAGGAGAUGGCAGAAAUCUAAAGAUCCAACAGAUUUAGAACAAGCUGCUGGAUGACAAUCAGUCAGGCUUCAAAGUGGACAUUCCACCGAGACUGCCCUGCUGUCUGUCACUGAGUCGCUGACACAGGUGAGAGCUGGAUCCAGAUCAUCUGUCCUGAUUCUACUGGACCUUUCUGCAGCCUUUGACACAGUCAACCAUCAGAUCCUACUCUCCACCUUCUCUACUCUGGGCAUCACAGGAACUGUGCUUGACUGGUUGAAGUCCUAUCUCUCAGCCCAAUGACACCACUGUGACUGCUCGAAUCUCGGCCUCUUUGUCAGACAUCUCGGCCUGGAUGAAGGAACACCACCAGCAACUUAACCCAGCAAAGACUGAGCUCCUCGUCUUUCCAGCCAACCCUGCUGUUGAACACAACAUCGCCGUUCAGCUGGGUUCAACUACUGUACUGCAAAUGAUCCAGAAUGCAGCAGCACAACUGGUCUUUGGUUCAUUAAAGACAGCCCAUGUGACACCACUCCUUGUCUCUCUUCACUGGCUGCCGGUUGAUGCACGGAUCAAAUUCAAGGCUCUGAUGCUUAUAUAUUCUUGUUGCACUGUAAUCUGUCUUGGAUACUACUAUUCUGAUGCUAGUAAAACUUUGUAUUGCAGCACAUUUAGUACCACUGUCUCCUUAAGCUGAAUCGUUUAAGAUGUAUUAUUCCUCUUUUGUAAGUCCCUUUGGAUAAAAGCGUCUGCCAAAUGAAUAAAUGUAAAUGUGAAGGUACACCAAUGAGAUUGAAUGGAGAGCACAUGGAGACAUUAGCAACUGCCUCUCAGUUUUUUUCUUCUGUGGAAAAUACCCUAGUAAUCUCAGACUUCAUUCACACUUGUCUCUGAUCCUGGCAUAAUUACCGGGAAGCCUUCUAUGUGAACGCAAGCCAAGCCGGAACGCCAGAAAAUUCCAGCAGUAAAUUCCGGCAUUCCCAAGAUCAAUCCCGGAACGUGUCUGUGUGAACAAAGGCAGAGCAAAUAUCGUGAAGGGUGUGUGUAGUAGUGAUGAUGUAUUUAUUAUGCGAAGGAGAAAGUUUGUAUGCAGAAUAAAGAUGUAACAGUUUCAGGGUAGACCGCGGUUUUAAAAAACAGACAUUUUCUCAUUCACACCAUUGCGUGAAUAUAAAGUUUUCUGGUUUUUAUUUUGUCAAAUCCAAGUUAAGGAAUUAAUUUUUCAGUGUAAAUAUCAGUUUCAUUAAGAAACAAUUGGCUACAUUUACAGCAUCACAAACCUGACAUGAUAAAAUAAAUAUAUAAAUCCCUCUUUCAUUCAGAGAACGCAGCACAUGAAAUUUCGGAGUCUGAACAUUUUUUCCCUCUUGUUGACAGUGUGGUUGAAAUCUGCGAUGUAAGAAUACUUUGGGUUUUUUAAAUUUUGAUGAUGGUUACCCAGUUUGUAAACUGUGUUGAAAAAAAA